rnacentral:rRNA from 1 species
GAUGAACGCUGGCGGCGUGCCUAAUACAUGCAAGUCGAGCGAACGGACGAGAAGCUUGCUUCUCUGAUGUUAGCGGCGGACGGGUGAGUAACACGUGGAUAACCUACCUAUAAGACUGGGAUAACUUCGGGAAACCGUAGCUAAUACCGGAUAAUAUUUUGAACCGCAUGGUUCAAAAGUGAAAGACGGUCCUGCUGUCACUUAUAGAUGGAUCCGCGCUGCAUUAGCUAGUUGGUAAGGUAACGGCUUACCAAGGCAACGAUGCAUAGCCGACCUGAGAGGGUGAUCGGCCACACUGGAACUGAGACACGGUCCAGACUCCUACGGGAGGCAGCAGUAGGGAAUCUUCCGCAAUGGGCGAAAGCCUGACGGAGCAACGCCGCGUGAGUGAUGAAGGUCUUCGGAUCGUAAAACUCUGUUAUUAGGGAAGAACAUAUGUGUAAGUAACUGUGCACAUCUUGACGGUACCUAAUCAGAAAGCCACGGCUAACUACGUG